AAAUUUCGAUCAGUGUUUCUUUGUUUCAUCGAUGGAAUCUGUGGACGUCGCAAUAAUCGGAGCGGGGCUGUGCGGGUUGGCACUCGCGAUUGGCCUGCAAAACAGAGGAAUCACUGCUCACUUGUUUGAAAAGAGUGAUGGCAUUCGAGCGGAUACUGCUACAGGGAUAAGUAUUGGAAAGAAUGGUACCUUGUUUUUUUAUCUUCCAUUAUUUCGAUCUGUAAGACUCUUCGCAGGAGGGCGAGCUCUGGACGGAAUCCAGCCGGGGCUGGAGGAGGCCAUGAAAUCUGCAGGAACGCAGAUAAAGAGCUUUAGAAUUCUUGACAUUACUGGAGGCGAGAAGCAGGAGAUUGAGAUGAAGGAAGGAGAAAUCCCGGCGGUGUUUAUGGUACCUUGGAGAAAAGCACGAAAGAUGUUGGCUGACAUGGUUCCCAGUUCUAACAUUCACUGCUCGCACAAACUCGUCUCCUACAGUGCUGCAAAAGAUAAGGCAAGGAAGUGAAUGAGAGACAGCAUAAAAAUCAUACAACUGACUUGCACAGGAUGGAGUCGAGUUGGAGUUUGAAGUUCGAGAUGAUCAAGGCCGGACUUCUCGCAAGACAAUCCAUGCCAACUUGGUGAUUGGAACAGACGGAGUCCACUCCGCUGUGAGGAAGAUCAUGGUGGGAGAUAAACCCAGGGACUUGCACCUGAUGAACUGGAACGCUCUCGUCUACAAUCCCGAUUCCAAGUAAGUCAAUUUACCGGCAACAGUAGAGCUUACCUUGGACAUACGACCAGGUUCUUCAAGGUCCACGAGAAGGAUCAGAUUUUCAUGAUCAAGGACAACGCAACAUUCGUUCAUCUCGCGGACUCAGGUAACUGGCUCUCUGCGAAAACACUAAAGUUUAGAGGAGAAGAUACAAGUGGAUCAUGCGUAUUUACUUACAGGCGAAGGCUAUACCUUGUGGGUGGUCCGGAUGUACAACGAAGACAUCCCGAUUGGUGGUGCAUUUGGAGGGCCUCCUGCCAAAGAACGAGCUCUCAAAGA
rnacentral:lncRNA from 1 species